CUCAUACCACCAAACAUCACGAGAUUCUCCUGUGCAUUCGACAGGGAAUUGCAAGUCCCGAUCUGGAGGGAUUUAGAGAGAAGUUUGCGAAUAUUAGCUUUUAUUCAAACCGGCAGUGAAUCUGAGUGAAUCUAGUCUAUGAAAUGAAGUCAUCAGAUCUUCAGCGAGAACUCAAAUGAAAGGGACGGUCAGGGAACAUACGCACCCUCUCCGAAAGGCUCGAAUUAGCAAGAUACUCGAGUGGCCUGCGCAAGAUGAGCCCGAAAGCAAACAUCGAAUGCUAAGAAAUCCCUUGCCGUUCAUACACAUCUAUAUUUAUGGAAUAUUUCCAACGCGUUAAAUGGUCUUUGAAGGGAAAAGUAUACAUGCGGUGCAUGCAAACUUUCAUGCUUGGUUUUCAACGGCCGCCAUCUUUGCUUCGUCAUUAAACGUAUUUUUGUCAAAUGUAAAUUGUAGAGCUGUUGUUCACUUAGAAACUUUCAGUCUCUCUUGACAACUCCUUAAAUUACAACCUCGAACUUGGAAAAAUAAAUCAUCCAAAUCAAGUUGUAUAAAUGUUAGUAUUUUGAUCGGAAUGAGGAGAGAGAGGUUUCGUUAUCUCUCUCUCUCUCUCCCUUAGUUUCAAUUUUCUACCGAACUCGUUUCGCCAAGCUUGAACUGGAAUGAUUUGAGCAUGUAUCUCUAACAAAGACUGCUUUCUUUCUUUGUGAUAAUCUGGAGAAAGGGUUCUCCUGCUGUACAAUAUUAUUACAACAUGUGUGAUGCUGGCUUCGAUUGCGUGCAAAAGCAAACAUGGUGAAGGAUGUACUUUUUAUUUGCGAACUUGAAAUCAUAUCAAGGCUGACAAAAUACAACUACACUUUUGA